UACGAACCGUGCGAACGUUGUUCGGAAUCACUGGGCUUAAAGGGCGCGUAGGCGGGCAAGCAAGUCCGGGGUGAAAGCCCCCAGCUUAACUGGGGAAGUGCCUUGGAAACUGCUUGUCUCGAGGGAGGUAGGGGCCUGUGGAACUUCGGGUGGAGCGGUGAAAUGCGUUGAUAUCCGAAGGAACGCCGGUGGCGAAAGCGACGGGCUGGACCUCUUCUGACGCUGAGGCGCGAAAGCCAGGGGAGCAAACGGG
rnacentral:rRNA from 1 species